GACGAACGCUGGCGGCGUGCCUAAUACAUGCAAGUAGAACGCUGACGGAGGAGCUUGCUCUUCUGGCUGAGUUGCGAACGGGUGAGUAACGCGUAGGUAACCUGCCUGGUAGCGGGGGAUAACUAUUGGAAACGAUAGCUACUAUCGCAUAACAGACGAUGUUGCAUGACAUUUGCUUAAACGGUGCACUUGCAUCACUACAAGAUGGACCUGCGUUGUUUUCGCUUGUUGGUGGGGUAACGGCUCACCAAGGCGACGAUACAUCGCCGACCUGAGAGGGGGAUCGGCCACACUUGGACCUAGACACGGCCCAGACUCCUACGGGAGGCAGCAGUAGGGAAUCUUCGGCAAUUGACGGAAGUCUGACCGAGCAACGCCGCGGGAGUGAAGAAGGUUUUCGGAUCUGAAAGCUCUGUUUUAAGAGAAGAACGAGUGUGAGAGUAGAAAGUUCACACUGUGACGGUAUCUAACCAGAAAGGGACGGCUAACUACGUG
rnacentral:rRNA from 1 species